UGGGGAAUAUUGCACAAUGGGCGCAAGCCUGAUGCAGCCAUGCCGCGUGUGUGAAGAAGGCCUUCGGGUUGUAAAGCACUUUCAGCGGGGAGGAAGGCGAUAAGGUUAAUAACCUUAUCAAUUGACGUUACCGACAGAAGAAGCACCGGCUAACUCCGUGCCAGCAGCCGCGGUAAUACGGAGGGUGCAAGCGUUAAUCGGAAUUACUGGGCGUAAAGCGCACGCAGGCGGUUGAUUGAGUCAGAUGUGAAAUCCCCGGGCUUAACCCGGGAAUUGCAUCUGAUACUGGUCAGCUAGAGUCUUGUAGAGGGGGGUAGAAUUCCAUGUGUAGCGGUGAAAUGCGUAGAGAUGUGGAGGAAUACCGGUGGCGAAGGCGGCCCCCUGGACAAAGACUAACGCUCAGGUGCGAAAGCGUGGGGAGCAAACAGG
rnacentral:rRNA from 1 species